rnacentral:snRNA from 1 species
ACUUAACUCAUAAUCAAAU